rnacentral:tRNA from 1 species
ACCUUCGUGGUGUAGUGGUCAGCACGCUCGACGCGUAACCGAGAGGUCCGCGGUUCGAUUCCCGGCGAAGGCG